AAGGAAUAUUACGGAAACCUACACAUUCUU
rnacentral:misc_RNA from 1 species